AUGUUUCUGCUUCACGAAUAUGAUAUUUUUUUGACAUUUCUAAUAAUAGCAAGCCUUAUUCCUAUUUUGGCAUUUUCGAUUUCUGGACUUUUAGCCCCGGUUAGUGAAGGACCAGAGAAGCUUUCUAGUUAUGAAUUGGGUAUAGAACCCAUGGGAGGGGCUUGGGUACAAAGAUCCAUUCCAAUUGGAAUUCCGUAUGGCUACAACUCUUUUUAA
rnacentral:rRNA from 1 species